AUGCCCUACAUACCAGCUGACGUCACAAACCUAAAGGCAAAGUACCGUAGAGAGAGCAAGUUGGCUGACAUAGAGGCCACAAUGGCCAACUUCGAUGAGAAAGCGAAGGAAGAUCCAGAUUUCUUCUACAGGAUAAGGUUGGAUGAUGAGGACCGUGUCAGGAACAUAUAUUGGGUGGAUGGUGCUGCAAGAAGAGCCUACAAACAUUUCCGAGAUUGCAUUUAAUUUGACGCGACAUAUCUCACUAAUAUGUACAAGAUGCCAUGCGCUCCAUUCAUAGGAAUAAAUAACCACAAUCAGUCGUUGCAGUUCGGACGCGGGCUCUUUCGGAACAAAGACACGGAUGGGUACAUUUGGCUGUUCAAGACCUUCUUGGAGUGCAUGGAUGGACUUGCUCCGAUGAACAUAAUAACAGACCAGGAUUUUAGCAUGCGUGCAGGCAUAGAGGAGGUAUUCCCGUUGGCAGUGCACAGGCACUGCAGGUGGCACAUUAUAAAGAAGGCUGAGGAGACGCUAGGACCAUUCUUUGCUGAUCGUCCAGAUCUGCACAAGGCAUUCAAGCUGUGCAUGGACCACAACUUGACGGUCGAGGAGUUUGAAAGGAGCUGGAUGGCCAUGAUUGAAACAUAUCAAGUCCAAGACAACGAGAGUCUUGCUAACCUGUGGGAGAAGCGAAUGUACUGGGUGCCGGCCUACUUCAUGCAGUGCUUCUUCCCGUUUCUGCAGAAUACGCGGCGCAACGAGGGGUUCAAUGCUAUUUUGAAGCGGUACGUGAACCCUGGCAACUCAUUGCUACAGUUUGGCAAGCAGUACAUAGCUUUGCAACAAAAAAUACUGGGAUCUAAGCUACAACAAGAAGCGAACACCGCGCUAAAGCAGCCAAAAUUGCUAACGUAUUUAUCGAUGGAGAGGCAACUGAGCAAGAUAUACACCAACAAGAUCUUUAACAAGUAA
rnacentral:rRNA from 1 species